rnacentral:rRNA from 1 species
CCUACGGGAGGCAGCAGUGAGGAAUAUUGGUCAAUGGACGAGAGUCUGAACCAGCCAAGUAGCGUGAAGGAUGACUGCCCUAUGGGUUGUAAACUUCUUUUAUAAAGGAAUAAAACGAGGCACGUGUGCCUUUUUGCAUGUACUUUAUGAAUAAGGAUCGGCUAACGCCGUGCCAGCAGACGCGGUAAUACGGAGGAUCCGAGCGUUAUCCGGAUUUGUUGGGGUUAAAGGGAGCGUAGAUGGGUUGUUAAGUCAGUUGUGAAAGUUUGCGGCUCAACCGUAAAAUUGCAAUUGAUACUGGCAGUCUUGAGUACAGUUGAGGUAGGCGGAAUUCGUGGUGUAGCGGUGAAAUGCUUAGAUAUCACGAAGAACCCCGAUUGCGAAGGCAGCUUACUAAACUGUGACUGACAUUGAUGCUCGAAAGUGUGGGUAUCAAACAGGAUUAGAUACCCCAGUAGUC